UCCCCAGUGAUGUGUUAGUAUGACAUAUCAAAGGAAGGGAGGAGGUUGUUGCUUUGACUUGGAAUAGCCUACUAGACCAUGGACUAUCUCUUUAAGAAUGAACUGUAGAAUCUCGCCUAGAUUUGAAGUCAUUGGCUUAUAGUUUAAAGAAUCUGUCCUUUUCCCCAUCCCCAGUUCUGAGUUAUCUGUUCUAUUGUAGCAGGCAAAGGAGAUGGCCUCCCUGUACUGAAAUGACUCAGGUCAGCCCUUUCCAAGAUGAACUGACUGGAAGAGUACCCAAGCCACUACAAAGACCCUGAGUACCUCUUUUCCAUAAUGACGUGGGCUUUUGGCACAUUAACCACAACCACAACAACAAAGACCAGAAGAGCCUACAGAGAAGAGAAAAGAAGCUAUGCAGGUGAUAGACAGGGCUUCUUGGACAUGGAAGCAACAAGAGACAAGAGCCAGUGGCUGUAGAUGAAGGCUGAAAAACAGUCUCUGUCAUAGAAAAGAGAGAAGAUAAACAGGAGUGGAUACUGACCCAUGGAGUACUGUACCUGGAGCAGCUUUCUGGAAGCCCACACAGGCAGGCCCAGGAAACACAGUCAAAAGUUUUGUCGCGCAAGUGGUCGAAACUGUUGGCUAAAUUAGGUGUUUGUGUUAUUUUUUUAUCUUGAUUAUCCAAACCACUCUAUACCUAGACC